rnacentral:rRNA from 1 species
AGCGAACGCUGGCGGCAGGCCUAACACAUGCAAGUCGAACGAUCCUUCGGGAUAGUGGCGGACGGGUGAGUAACACGUGGGAACGUGCCCUUUGGUUCGGAAUAACUCAGGGAAACUUGAGCUAAUACCGGAUGUGCCCUUCGGGGGAAAGAUUUAUCGCCAUUGGAGCGGCCCGCGUUGGAUUAGCUAGUUGGUGGGGUAAAGGCCCACCAAGGCUACGAUCCAUAGCUGGUCUGAGAGGAUGAUCAGCCACACUGGGACUGAGACACGGCCCAGACUCCUACGGGAGGCAGCGGUGGGGAAUCUUGCGCAAUGGGCGAAAGCCUGACGCAGCCAUGCCGCGUGAAUGAUGAAGGUCUUAGGAUUGUAAAAUUCUUUCACCGGGGACGAUAAUGACGGUACCCGGAGAAGAAGCCCCGGCUAACUUCGUGCCAGCCGCCGCCGUAAAAC